UAGAGUCUGAUUAUUUACAGAUGUUAUAAUAUUUAAUAAUUAAAAUAUUUUAAUUAAAACUGUAUAAUAUUU